AUGGGAAAAAGACCUCACAUACUUAUAAUAAAACCUUAUCAUGCAAUGAGCUACAUCACCAAAACCCAUUUAAUUUUCUUUUAUAAUGUUGAUUUAUGGCGCAGGUUAUUGAAUGGACUUGAUAUGAUAUGGACCAUAUGCUGUUCAUGUGGACGGCUAAAAGAUAACGAUAAGAACCAAGGGCUAUUUCAAGAGAGAGAGAGAGUGCGCGCGCGUCGUCACCAAUUUUCGGUUAACGGAUUCGUUCUUUUCUUCACCAGUUCAAAGCAUCUUUUUCUCGGUUCGAUGAAUUUUCCACACUUUUCUUCAUAA